rnacentral:rRNA from 1 species
UACAAAGGUCUCAAGCGUUGUUCGGAUUCAUUGGGCGUAAAGGGUGCGUAGGUGGCGUUGUAAGUCAGGUGUGAAAUCUCGGAGCUCAACUCCGAAACUGCACUUGAUACUGCAAUGCUCGAGUACUGGAGAGGAGAUUGGAAUUUACGGUGUAGCAGUGAAAUGCGUAGAUAUCGUAAGGAAGACCAGUGGCGAAGGCGAAUCUCUGGACAGUUACUGACACUGAGGCACGAAGGCCAGGGGAGCAAACGGG